rnacentral:rRNA from 1 species
UACGUAGGGGGCAAGCGUUGUCCGGAAUCAUUGGGCGUAAAGCGCGUGUAGGCGGCUCGAUAAGUCUGCUGUGAAAGUUCAGGGCUCAACCCUGAAAUGCCGGUGGAAACUGUCGAGCUAGAGUACGGAAGAGGUGAGUGGAAUUCCUGGUGUAGCAGUGAAAUGCGUAGAUAUCAGGAGGAACACCGAUGGCGAAGGCAGGUCUCUGGGCUGACACUGACGCUCAUGCACGAAAGCGUGGGGAGCAAACAGG